GUGCUUGCUUUGGCAGCACAUAUACUAAAAUUGGAAUAAUACAGAGAAAAUCAGCAUGGAUCCUGUUCAAGGAUAGCAUGCAAGUUCCUGAAGCAUUCCAUAUUUUU